UACGAAGGGGGCUAGCGUUGUUCGGAUUUACUGGGCGUAAAGCGCACGUAGGCGGAUCGUUACGUCGGGGGUGAAAUCCUGGAGCUCAACUCCAGAACUGCCUUCGAUACUGGCGAUCUCGAGUCCGGAAGAGGUGAGUGGAACUCCUAGUGUAGAGGUGGAAUUCGUAGAUAUUAGGAAGAACACCAGUGGCGAAGGCGGCUCACUGGUCCGGUACUGACGCUGAGGUGCGAAAGCGUGGGGAGCAAACAGG
rnacentral:rRNA from 1 species